rnacentral:lncRNA from 1 species
UGAAGAUGCCCCCUUCCCAAUGGGAAAUGGUUCCAUCUGAUCCAGCUGCUCCUCUUCCUUUCUCCAGUGAUGGAGCAAAAGGCCUUGCUGGAGGCAGCAUUUUCUGGAGGAAGCAAUGGCUCUGAGCCACCAUCUGGUACACGAAGGGAGGAGAUGCCAGACAGAGCCACAGAAGAUGUUAUCACUGAAACAGGAAUGUAUGCUCAGGAUCCAGUGCACCUUCCAAGAAUUGUCUGUCCCCAGGACGUGAGCAGGUCCUGCAUGAUAGGCACAGUAGUGACACUGUUCACUGUGCCCCUUGUCCUGGUCUGCUGCUAUUUUGGGAUUCGGAAGCUGUAUCAGAUGAGACGGUAAGUUGUGGAUUUUUCUCCACAGUUUUCUCAAAACUCUGCUCAUAGCGUUGAUUGCCUGGCUCAUAGUUAUGCUGCUGUGGAGUUGUGGCAAGUCCAUGCUCAUCCAAAUGACUCUGCUGGGGUUCUGCUGCUGCCCAGUGCUUUAAUUGGCCUCUUAAUUGCUGGGCCUUGUCCUGGGGAGCCCGCUGGGGCUGCAGGCAGUGCUGGCUCCCACUGAGGCUGCGUAG